ACCGUGAGGGAAAGGUGAAAAGCACCCCGGAAGGGGAGUGAAAUAGAACCUGAAACCGUGUGCUUACAAGUAGUCAGAGCCCGUUAAUGGGUGAUGGCGUGCCUUUUGUAGAAUGAACCGGCGAGUUACGAUUUGAUGCAAGGUUAAGCAGUAAAUGUGGAGCCGUAGCGAAAGCGAGUCUGAAUAGGGCGUUUAGUAUUUGGUCGUAGACCCGAAACCAGGUGAUCUACCCUUGGUCAGGUUGAAGUUCAGGUAACACUGAAUGGAGGACCGAACCGACUUACGUUGAAAAGUGAGCGGAUGAACUGAGGGUAGCGGAGAAAUUCCAAUCGAACCUGGAGAUAGCUGGUUCUCUCCGAAAUAGCUUUAGGGCUAGCCUCAAGUGAUGAUUAUUGGAGGUAGAGCACUGUUUGGACGAGGGGCCCCUCUCGGGUUACCGAAUUCAGACAAACUCCGAAUGCCAAUUAAUUUAACUUGGGAGUCAGAACAUGGGUGAUAAGGUCCGUGUUCGAAAGGGAAACAGCCCAGACCACCAGCUAAGGUCCCAAAAUAUAUGUUAAGUGGAAAAGGAUGUGGCGUUGCCCAGACAACUAGGAUGUUGGCUUAGAAGCAGCCAUCAUUUAAAGAGUGCGUAAUAGCUCACUAGUCGAGUGACACUGCGCCGAAAAUGUACCGGGGCUAAACAUAUUACCGAAGCUGUGGAUUGUCCUUUGGACAAUGGUAGGAGAGCGUUCUAAGGGCGUUGAAGCAUGAUCGUAAGGACAUGUGGAGCGCUUAGAAGUGAGAAUGCCGGUGUGAGUAGCGAAAGACGGGUGAGAAUCCCGUCCACCGAUUGACUAAGGUUUCCAGAGGAAGGCUCGUCCGCUCUGGGUUAGUCGGGUCCUAAGCUGAGGCCGACAGGCGUAGGCGAUGGAUAACAGGUUGAUAUUCCUGUACCACCUAUAAUCGUUUUAAUCGAUGGGGGGACGCAGUAGGAUAGGCGAAGCGUGCGAUUGGAUUGCACGUCUAAGCAGUAAGGCUGAGUAUUAGGCAAAUCCGGUACUCGUUAAGGCUGAGC
rnacentral:rRNA from 1 species